UGCAGUCGAGCGGCAGCACGGGUACUUGUACCUGGUGGCGAGCGGCGGACGGGUGAGUAAUGCCUAGGAAUCUGCCUGGUAGUGGGGGAUAACGCUCGGAAACGGACGCUAAUACCGCAUACGUCCUACGGGAGAAAGCAGGGGACCUUCGGGCCUUGCGCUAUCAGAUGAGCCUAGGUCGGAUUAGCUAGUUGGUGAGGUAACGGCUCACCAAGGCGACGAUCCGUAACUGGUCUGAGAGGAUGAUCAGUCACACUGGAACUGAGACACGGUCCAGACUCCUACGGGAGGCAGCAGUGGGGAAUAUUGGACAAUGGGCGAAAGCCUGAUCCAGCCAUGCCGCGUGUGUGAAGAAGGUCUUCGGAUUGUAAAGCACUUUAAGUUGGGAGGAAGGGCAUUAGCCUAAUACGUUAGUGUUUUGACGUUACCGACAGAAUAAGCACCGGCUAACUCUGUGCCAGCAGCCGCGGUAAUACAGAGGGUGCAAGCGUUAAUCGGAAUUACUGGGCGUAAAGCGCGCGUAGGUGGUUCGUUAAGUUGGAUGUGAAAUCCCCGGGCUCAACCUGGGAACUGCAUUCAAAACUGUCGAGCUAGAGUAUGGUA
rnacentral:rRNA from 1 species